GAGAACACACUUUUCUGUAAGAGCAGUUCAGUAUUAUUAAAAUAUCAAACUUUAUCAAAAGUUAUUUUUUUCUGGAGGAGUAGAGAAGUUUUUCAAACAAAUAAAUGCAUCAGUCAAGGCGCCCCCCGGAAGACCAAGACGAGGCCGAAGGAGGAGGAGUGAUGAUGAAGGGGAGGGGGAAGACGAAAUUCCAAAUCCUUGCGCGCACGAGUCCUCACCGACGUUGAGAUGGGCAAUCCUUUUUCGACCGGUAGAGGGCCACAGCCUUCCGGCGAGCGAAGUGAGCCUCCUUUACGUGGGCGUCCCCGUUUAUGGCAAUAAUAAGCGGGCUAGAAGUCCAGAACAUGUAGCAGCCCACACUAUCUGACCAUCUAAUGUUCUUUGCAUAUGCAAGGAAAAAAAACUUAUUGGCGCUAAAUAGAAUUAAAAAAUGUUCUUUGCAUAUGCAAGACAAAAAAAUUUAUUGGUGCUUCAUAAUAUUAAAAAACUAUGUGAAGCCAGGCUGUGCGCCAACAAGGAAAAGUUUAUGGCAAUAAUAAGCGGGCUAGAAGUCCAGAACAUGUAGCAGCCCACACUAUCUGACCAUCUAAUGUUCUUUGCAUAUGCAAGGAACAAAAACUUAUUGGCGCUAAAUAGAAUUAAAAAAUGUUCUUUGCAUAUGCAAGACAAAAAAAUUUAUUGGUGCUUCAUAAUAUUAAAAAACUAUGUGAAGCCAGGCUGUGCGCCAACAAGGAAAAGUUUAUGGCAAUAAUAAGCGGGCUAGAAGUCCAGAACAUGUAGCAGCCCACACUAUCUGACCAUUUUAUGCACUUCUUUGCAUAUGCAAGGAACAAAAACUUAUUGGCGCUAAAUAGAAUUAAAAAAUGUUCUUUGCAUAUGCAAGAAAAAAAAACUUAUUGGCGCUAAGUAUAAUUAAAAAAUUAUGUGGAGCCAGGCUGUGCGCCAACGAGGAAAAGGUUAGUACUAUCUGAUGUAUGCCUAUAGUGAGGUCCACGUUA
rnacentral:misc_RNA from 1 species